UACAGAGGGCCUCGAGCGUUUAGGCGGAAUCACUGGGCUUAAAGCGUGUGUAGGCGGACUUCGUAAAGUACCUUGUGAAAUCCCCACGGCUUACCCGUGGAACGGCUGGGUAUACUGGGAGUCUUGAGCCACCUAGGGGCGAGUGGAACAAAUGGUGGAGCGGUGAAAUGCGUAGAUAUCAUUUGGAACGCCAAUGGUGAAAACAACUCGCUGGGGGUGUGCUGACGCUGGAGACACGGAAAGCCCAGGGGAGCGAACGGG
rnacentral:rRNA from 1 species